rnacentral:rRNA from 1 species
UACGUAGGGUCCGAGCGUUGUCCGGAAUUAUUGGGCGUAAAGGGCUCGUAGGCGGUUUGUCGCGUCGGGAGUGAAAACACGGGGCUUAACCCCGUGCCUGCUUCCGAUACGGGCAGACUAGAGGUAUGCAGGGGAGAACGGAAUUCCUGGUGUAGCGGUGAAAUGCGCAGAUAUCAGGAGGAACACCGGUGGCGAAGGCGGUUCUCUAGUACGGUACUGACGCUGAGACGCGAAAGCGUGGGGAGCGAACAGG